UACGGAGGGUGCAAGCGUUAUCCGGAUUCACUGGGUUUAAAGGGUGCGUAGGUGGAUUGGUAAGUCCGUGGUGAAAUCUCUGAGCUUAACUCAGAAACUGCCGUGGAUACUACUGGUCUUGAAUAAGGUGGAGGUGAGCGGAAUAUGUCAUGUAGCGGUGAAAUGCUUAGAUAUGACAUAGAACACCUAUUGCGAAGGCAGCUCACUACACCUCCAUUGACACUGAGGCACGAAAGCGUGGGGAUCAAACAGG
rnacentral:rRNA from 1 species